UACGUAGGUGGCAAGCGUUGUCCGGAUUUAUUGGGUUUAAAGGGUGCGUAGGCGGCUUUUUAAGUCAGUGCUGAAAUACCCCGGCUUAACCGGGGGGGUGGCAUUGAUACUGGAGAGCUUGAGUGGAGUCGAGGUAGGCGGAAUUGACGGUGUAGCGGUGAAAUGCUUAGAUAUCGUCAAGAACACCGAUAGUGAAGACAGCUUACUAGACUUCAACUGACGCUGAGGCACGAAAGUGUGGGGAUCAAACAGGAUUAGAAACCCCCGUAGUCC
rnacentral:rRNA from 1 species